AUACGGAGGGUGCAAGCGUUAUUCGGAAUCACUGGGCGUAAAGGACACGUAGGCGGGAAGCCAAGUCUGAUGUGAAAUCCUAUGGCUCAACCAUAGAACUGCAUUGGAAACUGGUUACCUAGAGUAUGGGAGGGGGAGAUGGAAUUAGUGGUGUAGGGGUAAAAUCCGUAGAUAUCACUAGGAAUACCUAAAGCGAAGGCGAUCUCCUGGAACAUCACUGACGCUAAGGUGUGAAAGCGUGGGGAGCAAACGGGAUUAGAAACCCCAGUAGUCC
rnacentral:rRNA from 1 species